rnacentral:rRNA from 1 species
UACAGAGGGUGCGAGCGUUAAUCGGAAUUACUGGGCGUAAAGCGCACGUAGGUGGCGACGUAAGUCGGGUGUGAAAGCCCCGGGCUCAACCUGGGAAUUGCAUUCGAGACUGCAUUGCUGGAGUACGGAAGAGGAAGGCGGAAUUCCCGGUGUAGCGGUGAAAUGCGUAGAUAUCGGGAGGAACAUCAGUGGCGAAGGCGGCCUUCUGGUCCAGUACCGACGUUCAGGCACGAAAGCGUGGGGAGCAAACAGG